rnacentral:rRNA from 1 species
UACGUAGGGUGCGAGCGUUGUCCGGAAUUAUUGGGCGUAAAGGGCUCGUAGGCGGUUUGUCGCGUCGGGAGUGAAAAUCCAGGGCUUAACUCUGGACUGGCUUUCGAUACGGGCAGACUAGAGGUAUGCAGGGGAGAACGGAAUUCCUGGUGUAGCGGUGAAAUGCGCAGAUAUCAGGAGGAACACCGGUGGCGAAGGCGGCAUCCUGGACCAAUACUGACGCUGAGGAGCGAAGGCCAGGGGAGCAAACGGG